AUGAGCUCCGGGGCCAAGGUGAGGUAACAAUAGUCAUUUCAUGAAGAAACUUUAAGAUAGAGAAGAGUGAUUAAUCUUACAUAGUUGUUUAAACAAUUCGUCCAAUUAACAUGUAUACAUGCUUAAGAAGUGUAUAGAUUCACGAUUGUUCACACAUUCAACUCUGGGGCCUGGGUGGGGUCACAAAAGUGUUUCUAUAAAUAGGUAGGUAGGUGUACAUGUAUACAUACAUAGAUAAAAGUUGGUUUUGUAUACCUUACUGAUUUUAUAUUUUGCUUUUAAUGACGUUGGUGCAUUUUGUCUCUUUCUCUCAAUUUAAAUCCCACGAACAAUGUCGUAGGCGAUACCAAUAGAUUAAUAUGAAUUUAUAUACCCUGAUGCUAUUGAUUUAAAAUCCACCCCAGUCUGUAUUAAAUCGAUUUCACCCUACCAAAUAAUUUGGCAUUCAUUCAAGUUCUGAUACGCUGGAAAGGGACAUUCAUGUACUAUACAGACUGAAAGAUAAGUUUCUACUAUUUCUGUAUCAAAGUAUCACAUUUUCUCUAUAUUAUGCAAGUAACGAAACCAUUAGGCAAGAGAUAAAAAGAAUGAGGGAAAAGGCGAUGUGUUUACAUUGUCUUUGCAAACUUCGGGACACCUUAUUCUUACCAUGUCAGCACUUUCUUUACUGCAACAGCUGUGGGAGAGACUUUGUUAGAUGUGAGAAGUGUUGCAGACUUAUAGAAGACAGAUUGAGACUGAGUAUGGUCAGGUGUUAGAUGUGAGAAGUGUUGCAGACUUAUAGAAGACAGAUUGAGACUGAGUAUGGUCAGGUGUUAGGUUUCGUGUAGACUCUUUAAUGCAAUAUUUCAUCUUGGGAUAACGACAAGCAUGCUGCAAUUAUAUAACAAUAUGUGUAUGAGAAUAUGGAAUGACCAAUAAAUAUUAUAAAGUAUA